GGCUAUACGGGCAGCGUGGCGUUGGAAGGACUGAGACAAGUAGUUAGCUAGCGUUGCAUAUUUAAAAGAAAAUCGUAUAACGUGCUAAUAAGAAACAAUGCAUGUGAUGACAUCAGAUGAUAUAGUCGUGCUUAAACCUCCCUAAAAGAAUCGGAGAUGGAUGACCAUGGAUCGAAGGGAAGCCAGUGCCCCUCCACAAUUCAUUGCUUCGUGAUUUACUUCACAACAAGCAAGGCGAUCACACAUCGUUCAGGAGAUUCUAAAUGAAAGGGUGGCAAAGGCUGAAGGGUGAAUGAAAUUCAGCCGUUCCAGCCGAGGGAUCGGAACUGUCACCUUGGAGACAUUCAGUGUUCAUUGAUAUGCCGAAGUUGAGGGCAUUUGCUGUGGAGAGAUGCGGAAAUGAGACCUUGACAAGUGUCACGGCCCUGCCUUCCAGUGAUGAUACUCGUGCUUGUUAAUCUGUGCUCUCUGUGUGUGUGGUCGCUUCCGCCUGCUCAUUUGAGGCCCUGGCUCCCAACAGCCACAGCUUGCUCCCUCUCCCCAUUUUAGUCUCCUGGCCAUAGACAGUGUUUAUUUUGUUAGUUUCUUUUUGCAUCCCCACAUACACUACACUUACUGUACUGUACACGUACUGGUGGACCAUCCACAUUGGUGGAUGCAGUUUUAAUGUUUAGUGCUUUAGUACACUACACUGUUUGGUGUGGUGGUCCACUUCUUGUGACUUGGAGCCAGGUCAUGACACACGGGAAAAGGAAAGAAUUUAAGUUCUAAAUAAAAAAAAAUUAUAAAAUUAAUGCGUUGUCUGGCUUACUGCACUCACUCCCAGGGAAGCACAUGUUGCCAUAGUCCUACAUUUCCUGACCUUUAUCAGAUUUAUACUGCAACUCUUAAUUUGUUAUCAGGAGUGUCUUCAUUUGCAAAACUUUGUAGACUAAACUUCCUAAUUUAACCCACAUUUUUGCUGUAGUAAAUUUGUCAGGUUUGAUACAGUGCAUAUUGGCUAGAAUCCUUUUAGAGGUCCCAUGAUCUUUUGGACUGGAUUUGUCAAGUUUUGUGUGUGUUCUUGUGGGUGUUUGUCUGACUGAGUUGAGGCAGUAACUACUGUAGUGGUGUAGUAAGGAACAAAGCUUGUAACCUUAAAGGUUACCCUUUCCAUGCUGGGGCACCGCUUUUGUAGACUUGGACAAGGUAUUUACCCCAAAA